GGAUAUCAAAUCAAUGAACAACAUAUUUGGUUUGUAUGCCCUAAUUUCUCCCUAUUAAGGUUCAGAAUUUUCUCCUCUCUUUCUCUUCUCAUCUAAUUCCCUUCUCUUCUUGCCUCAAUGGCUUAUCAUUCCUACAAUCAUUUAUCGGACACUAUGUCGAUCCUGUCGGGACAUUACGCGGUCCUUCCUUCCAGCGGCGAUUCUGUUGUCCUUCGGUAUUGUGCUCCUGUCGUCGAAGUCCCCCAACCUCCAGCUUCCUUCUCUUGUUGCCUAGGUAUAAAUAUUUUGUUUUUUUCAUUAUUUUUUAUAAAUUCGUCGACUAUUUGGCCGAGUUGAUGAAAUUCAUCGGUGAAUGUGCAGGUAGCCAACAGUUUUCAUGUCCUCUGUAGGCUAGCGAUCAUCAGCAAAAUCCUCUACUUCUUGUCUAGUUGAGUUGCAGGUAUAUAGCUCAAAACCCUACAAUUUGAAAUUAAUGGAAUCUGAAAUGUUAGGGUUUUAGGUAUGAUUUGUUCAAAUUGCAUAAUUAUAGUUGAUUUAAUGCACACCCAAGUCAGUAGUUUACAACAAGAAUCUUGUCUCAAUUUUCAAUAAUUUAUAGGUUCGAAUUGUUCAUGUUUAUAAUUGCUUGGGAAAUGUUAGUUAUGGGGUUGUUGAUUAAUGACUGACCAUAUUGCCGAGGCCACAACCACUACUUGAAACUUCUGAUUUCUAGGUAAUAAAAAAAGAUUGAAUGAGUUUACCCAAAGAGGCAAAGAUGGGAUGCAAAAGCAGGUAAAAAAAAAGGGAGGAAGAGGGAGAAGACUGUGAUAAGGUAUUGUGUUCAUGUAUUGGUUUGAUGGGAGUGUGUAUAGGGAUACUGGGUUAUUACUGUGCUUAUGGAUGUUGCAUUCUAUUGAGCCACUAUUAAAGAAGAUAUGUGAAUUUAAAAACUUUUCCCCUUUUUGUGUUUCAGUUUAGAUGUUCAACUUAAGCAACAUGGAAAUGUCUAGGUAACAUUUAACGUUUUGUUUUAAACAGCAAUUUGAAGAUGGUGCAAGUCAUUAUCAUCUUCUAACAUCAGGUAGCUUGUGAAGUGUGCAUUUAGUAUUCAUUUUGUGUUUUUUGUCUGACUUGUAAAGUAUCAUCAUAUGCUUAUGUAAAGUAGCAUAGGUUUCCAUUAAUGUAAGAUAAAUAUCACGUUGCAGUUUAAUAAUGAAAUGAAAGUCUGGCCUUGAGAAUUGCGGUUUGUAUUCUAUCUAUUAUUAGUUCAUAUGGAAAAGAUAAGAUUACU
rnacentral:lncRNA from 1 species